GUGGCUAUGAAAGAUUUCCCUAAUCAGAUUCAGGAGUCCCUCUGGAUCGGCCCUCAACCCCUCACUACAACUUUUCCAGUUACACAGAUCAGAAGUGGCCAAUGGGAGGUGUGUCUGGAGGAGCCCUCCUUCUCCAUCAGGGACCUGCCUCAAAGUGGGUACUUUUCCUGAUGGGUUCUUGGACCCUGGCUGGAAAUUAGUCCUGCUUCAUAAACUCGCUGGCCUGGGUUCUGGGGGUUGAUGGGGGGUGGGGAUCUCAUGCCUGUGGCCCAAAUGGGGACAUACAAAGGAAAAAGGUAGGGAGGCAGGAGGAGGAAGGCUGGGGAGGAGAUCAAGAAGGUCCUCAGAGGAAGGGUCAAAAAAACGAGGCGUUUCCUAAGCACAGAAAGGGAUUCACUUGCAACCCAGCCCCAGUGAGUGACAUAUAUCUACUACAACUAGCAUGCAGCACCAUACUUCCAAAAGUAUCAUUAUAAUAACUGGUAUUUAAGAGUAAGUAUUUAUGCAAAGAGUAAGAUAGCUAUUCUCUUAGGUAAACAAUGCCAGUGUUUCCGAAACCUAAUUAUUCAUCAGAAUGCUUAGAACUUUGUGCAGGUCCCACAGGUGGAGAUUCUGAUUCAGUAGAUUGGAGUCAAGGCCUUGGAAUCUGUAUUUCUCACAAAUUCCCAGGUAAUUAAAAUACAGUCUUAAAUCAUUUGGAAACUAUUGUUAAAACCCUGUCCAUAUACUUCUAGUCCACAGAACGCAAACACUGGCCUACAUCAGUUUUACUCCUAAGGUCCAGGAAGUGGCCACAUAAAGAAUCCAUCCUCAUAUUUUAUAAAUUGACUAAGAAAGACACUAAACUCAAGGAAAAUUAAUAGGUAAUCAUUAAAUAUGGUUCAUCUAUACAAUGAACUGUUAUGCAGCCAUUUUUAAUGUUCAUGAUAAAGAGGUUUUAAUGGCAUGGGAAAAUACCUAUUAUAUAAUAUCAAGGGAAAAAAGCAUAAUGCUUAAUAUUAUGUUGUGCGUGUGUGUGUGUGUGUGUGUAUAACGUGCUCUCAACCAUGUAAAAUAACUGCACAUAUAAGUGACAAAAGUAAGAUUUAAUGUGUGUGUUCCACACCUCCCCUUCUCCACCCACUCAUGGAAGAGAAGCUGGGAAAAGGAGGAGGAAGAUUUAAGCAAAGAAACCAAAUCUGUCAACAUAAUAAAGAGCUGGGGGAGAGAAAGAGAAGUCAAGAGAAAAGACUUCAGUUACGAAAGAGAGAAAGUAUCUUUUGAGAAGGGCAGCUGUCAUUUAUCAUGAUGGUCCCGUCAGGACCUCUUCGGGGAAUUCUGGAAUGUCAGUGAUUCUCUUUUCCUUACUAGAUACAAGAGAGAAACCAUAUGGACUAGGGCCAAGGUUUCUCAACCUCUGCACUAAGGACAUUUUAGGCUGAAUAAUUGUUGUUGGGAACUGUCCUGUAUAUUCCUGGCCUCUGCCUACUACACACCUGUAUCAUCCUGCCCCUUCUCCCCAGUCGUAUCAACCAAAACUGUCUCCUGGCUUUGCCACACUUACCCCCUGUUGAGAACCACUAUCCUGGAAGUAUCUGAGUUCCAACCUGGGCAGCAUAGGUAGCACACCCUUCUGAGAACAGAGACAACACUGGGCAAGCAGAACUGAGAAAUGGAGGCAGGAAUAAUAAUAGGUCACAUUGUUUCUGCCCAGAAAAAUCCUCCCCUGAGACUAGACUUAAUCCCAGCCUCUAUAGGAGCUUAUAAAUCCUCCUCAUUUGUUUUUGGUUAAGAUAAUGUAGGUUGAAUUUUUCGUGGUUUGUAUCAGAAAUCGCCCACUCGAAUGCCCUUAAAGUUUUUCAAGAGCGUCAAGGUUAAUGGAGAAAUAGGAUAAAAGAAUUGAAAUCCCUAAAAACAUCUUUAGCUGAUUGGAAGGAUGAAUCAUCCAUCCAGAGUUCCAGAUAUUAAAAUGGUCACCUGCUAGAAAUUGAAAUCCCAAGCUGGCACCAUUUACAGGAGUGGGGUCCAAGUUCACAACCUCCUACAGGAGGCAGAAAGCAUACACUGAGAAUCCAAUCUAUACACUAGCCUAGAACACAUGAAAUUUGAAGGGCAAGCAUGGGACCAUUUGCUUGGGAAACUUCUGAAACCCAAGGUCAUAGGUCACACCAAGAAAAUCCAUUUCCAGGAGUUCCCGCUGUGGCUCAGUGGUUAACAAAUCUGACUAGGAACCAUGAGGUUGCGGGUCCAAUCCCUGGCCUCGCUCAGUGGGUUAAGGAUCUGGUGUUGCCGUGAGCUGUGGUGUAGGUUGCAGACACAGCUCAGAUCUGGCGUUGCUGUGGCUGUGGCAUAGGCUGGUGGCUAUAGCUCCAAUUGGACCCCCAGCCUGGGAGCCUUCAUAUGCCACAAAUGAGGCCCUAGAAAAUACAAAACAAAAAAAAGAAAAUCUGUUUCCAUUUAAGAUGUGCACUCAGGAAAAAAAUUAUUCCACAUAUUCUAUGUCGAUAGAUAUAGGGAUCCUAAGUAAGUUGUGAGUUAGGCUUCCAAGGAGAAUUUUUCAAAGGAAGUUGUCAAGAACUAGUUAGAGGACUCUUAAACCCCUCACUCAAAUCAAGAAGGGUACUUGGAUAUUAGGGAACAAUUUUUUUGGAAAGAAUUGACCCAUGUCACACAACAGAAAGUGAGAGAUAGAGGAAGGUAAGGGCAGACAGCAUGGACUAGUGUCUGACUCCUACCUGAGAAAUCUAAUGUGCAAAAAGCAGUCUGAUAGAUGCUCUGUGGACAGACGCUCUGGGAUCAUCCUGCCCUCCAGAAUGUGAUGGGGCAGAAGAUGCAUGUGUGUUUCCCAUGUCCUGGAUGUAGGCCACAUGGAAGAGAGAGUUGACAUAAGGUUCAUCGACAGGUAGAACCAGACAUACAUAUUUGAGAUUAUGCCUUCAAUGUAAAAUAAAGGCACAUAUAAAACCUUUUAUUUUCUAAAAGAGAAAGAUCGGCAUGGGGCCUGUAUAAGUUCAUACCCAAAGGUAGUGGAAAGACUAGUCCAAAUGAGGAAUUUUAAAGGGUGGCAGAAAUAAAAGUAAAAUUGCUUUUUGAUUACGUACUGUCCAAAGUAGCAGGUAUCUUUACAAAUCAUAUAAGGAAACUAAUCCCCACAAGUGAGAGAGAUAGCAAAGGCAACAAAUCACAGAAUGUACACCCUUAAGAAAUUUAGAUAGUGGAUCAAUCUUUUUUUUUAAAUUCUUAAAAUAACAAGGUUUUAAUUUUUGGAGUUCCCAUUGUGGCACAGCAGAAACAAAUCCGACUAGGAACCAUGAGGUUGCAGGUUCGAUCCCUGGCCUCAUUCAGUGGGUUAAGGAUCUGGUAUUGCCACGAGCUGUGGUGUAGGUCAAAGCAGCUGUUCAGAUCCUGCAUUGCUGUGGCUGUGGAAUAGGCUGGCAUCUGUAGCUACAAUUGGACCCCUAGCCUGGAACCUCCAAAUGCCUUGGGUGCGGCCCUAAAAAGCAAAAUAAAUAAAUACGUAAAUAAAUAACAAGGUUAUCAGAGAACAAUAUAAAGGAAUAAAAUUCAUUAGAUAAGACUGGACAUUAUUUUAAAAGAACAGGGACAUUUGAAAAAAACUAACCAAAAAGAAGUUUGAAAAUAAAAAAUAGCCCAUGAAAUAAAAAUAAAUCAGAGAAUAGGUUAGACAGACUAGACACUGGGAAAAAGAAAUUUAGUGAACUAGAAGAUAAAUCUUAGGAAAUUAUCCAGAGCCUCUUUGCACUUAUCAAAGAUGCUGGCAUCCAUCCCAUCAACAGAGGAGGGUUUUCUUAAGAUCUACUCUGCCGCUUGUUUCCCCUCAGACCCACCAGUUCAUAUCAACCAGGUCCCGUAAUUGGAGCAGGGGGCUGUUUCCUCCCUUGGGCUGCUCUCUGAUCUGAUUGUAAUUCUUGGUUAGAAGGAAUGAGUGGUAAGACCUUAAGGAAAACAAGCCUCAUCUUGUGAGGCUUUGCAGACUGGUAAGUAAGAGAAGGCUCCAUUUCCUUAGCAAAGAAGAAAUUCUACUUCUGCCAGCCUAGAGUUACAGCAGAAUCUGGGGGCGCAAGAUUCUGAGGCCUGUCUAUCCAAAUGCCCUAAUGCCAGAACUCAGUCUUCUCUCAGGGCGCUGCCGUUGGCAUAGGGGACUUGGUGAGAUUGUGCUUUCAGUCUCUUUUGUAACAUUUCUAUCCUUACAAUUGCUUCCUGAGCCUGGGUUUCAGCACUGUCUGCCCUGCAGCUGCAGGAGAGGAAU
rnacentral:lncRNA from 1 species